rnacentral:sRNA from 1 species
AUGGACCACUCCUGCACUGCACUUCUGAGCGCGCCAUCCACACCCACCCGACGACUGCUCGCUACAUCUUGUUAGCC